rnacentral:lncRNA from 1 species
AACUGUGUGCCUACGGGAAUUUUACACGUUUUGUUACGUUCUUCCCUGCCUUACCUGUUCUCCCUGAGAUAUCCUUCCUACCGAAUAAAGAGUUAAAUCCCAUAAGGUUGGACGUAACAUAUGUAAAGAAAUAGGUAGCCAAUUCACUUGUAGUUUUUCGAUAUGACUAGCAGUCGACUGUAUAACAACUAACGGCUCAUUGUAGAACUGACUUCAGAUUGAUUUAAAAAUGUUCCAUUAAUAUUUUAUGGAAUAUUUUAUGAAUAUUCUAUACAUAUACCAAAAUGUACAUAGAAUAUUUCUUAUUGCACAUACAAGUAGUGUUUAUAGAAUAUUCUGAAUAUUUCACGAUUAUUUAAAGAUUCUAUAAACAUCCCAGCAAACACUAAAUAUAAAUGCAAUAUAAGAACGUGGGAGUAACAUGUAAUAUAACAGAUGUUACACUCUAUUUAUAUUAUAGUUACAAAACUUUACUUCAUAUAUGUAAGGUAACAAAGUUAUGAAGCUAUUAUUGAUAUUACUCCGUUAUUUGUAUGUUACAAUAACCGAACAGUGAUGUAACCACAAUGUUGCGUGGUUACACAAUAAUUGUUUUAUUUAUGUUAUAUGGAUAUUAUAAAAUUUGAAUUUUGUAAGACUCUAACCUCAAUCGCACAACGUACAUCUCGUGCUAUUAGGCGCGCUUUUCGCUAGUGGAUGCUAUAAUGACGUAAAAGAGACGGUUUUUUCUUGCAACUUGACUUUAAUCAGGUAAUCCUUUAUGUUUUUUAAGUUAACAUUUAUUAAACAUUAUAUAAAAAAAGGUGUAGAAAAUAUUGCUGCAUUUAAUUAGCAUAUAUUAUUUCUCUUAUGUAUAAUAUACAUCGUAGGUAACGUAUUAUAAUCUUAUUUCCUACAUGUUUUGUAGGUUAUGUUUAGUCAGCGACAACAAUAUAAAUUCACAAGUUAUAACCGCCUUUAUAUAUUUUUUAUUUUUGAUAUUACAUGUUAAUUUGAUACAAUAUAUGUAUUGUGGAAUUGACGGUACAUUGAUAAUUAUACAAUUUAGAUCCAUCAUACAUCUUCGACAAAAUUGUAUACGCUGCUUAUUCGAUGCAUUUUUUCACAAAAUGAACAAAAAAGUAUAGCAGAUAAAAGUGCCACUCUAUCUUGCGAAGCAAUAAAUUUAUCGUUAAAGUUAAAACUAACAGAUAUAUUAUCAAACCUAUUAUUGACAAAAUGCAUAGCCAUAUGUUCCCUGUUUUGGUCCGCACAACUGCAUAUUUUUAUAUCUAUUAUAUAACUUAAAUAAUGUAUUUCUUAAGUAAAUUUAAAGAUAAUUUAUUAUUUGGGCUGCUAGUUCUACAUACAUUUCUUAGUUGCAAAAGUCACAUAGCAUAUGUGUAAAUCACGCAAUAUAUAAAGGCAGUUAUAAACUUAUAAAUAUAAUUUAUAAAGACGUAUCAUAUUAAAACUAAUUUUAUAUUACAGGAUUCUGCCAAUUAUUUUUACAUCAUUCGGACAACUGUUCUUCUUAAAAUUUAAAAAAACGUAAAGAAUAACUGAAGGAUAAUAUAAGUUUAUAAAAGCUGAAGAAAUUUUCACAAGGAUUAGAACAGAAAACUGAACUCAAAUGGAAGCGCUUGCACUCAUGUCACUAUCAUGUCCUGACAAUUUCGGAUUUUAUAAAACUAUAGGAGAUGUUGUGAUUGACGUUGAGAUUGUGAUUGACAUGUGGAGCAGAGCUAUAAUUUAGUUCAACAUUACGUGAAGUUUAUUUAAUGUUUUUUCUCUUAUUUUCCCUCGUUU